UGGCUCAGUGGUAGAGUGCUUGCCUCAUAUGCAUGAGGCCCUGGGUUUGAUUUCUCAG
rnacentral:tRNA from 1 species